AUCGCUUCUCGGCCCUUUGGCUGAGAUCAUGUGUAGUAUCUGUUCUUGUCAGCUUAGUAUCUGGCAAGCUGGGCAUUGCCUGGCACCAAUAUUAAACUGAUUUAAUACUUCCCGGGCUUACACCGAAGCUCGCUUCAGUUGACUCACUUAUUGUACCGGUCUCACACUACCAUCGGGUACAGUUCACCCGAA